GGACAAUGCAUUGAUUGAAAUAGUGUGUGUACGUAAUUCUGUAUAUAUCUGUUAUAUCUGAUUUGAGAUUUUUUAUAAUGAAUUAAAUGGGAAGCUCCCACCAAAUCAUCCAACACUUAAAUCAGAUCAGAUCACAGGCUUUUGGAGAAUGAGUGCUGUGGAUGAGGAGUUGGCGAACAUAAACGAAGUUGUAAUGAAGCGUUAUGACGGUGGAGAGUCAAAGGGAAACUUUGACCCCGAAAAGCAUAUAUAGGCUUAUUUACCUGUUAGACUCAAUGAGCAACAAGUGACAAAUUUAUUGCAAUGUAUAAUUCCCAUUUCAAUUCUUUGGGUUUACUUUGCUUACAUGUCAAUUUUCAUUAAGAUUGUUGCUCUUUUUCAUCCCUCAAGUCGGUUAAGACGUUUCUAGACCUCAAGAGCUGGAAGCAAGUUGGUGAAGCUUUGGCGGAACUAACCCCAGUUGGAGGCGGUGUUAAUUUGUGAGCAGAAGAGAAACACCGUCAAAGGCAAAAGAAAAAGAGCAUCGACCGCGAGAAAAGAAAGAUCGAAGAAAAGAAAAAUCUAGGAACGGUGGGUGAUGUUGAUGUGUUGGCGAUGGAGGGUAACUGCUGUCUCUUUAUUAUAAAUUAAUGUAUACGUAAAUUACACAAUAGAUUUUGCUUUCAACUCAAAUAUGUUUAAAACUAUUAUUAGAAUGAUUAGUUACUUAAAAACGAUUAUGAUUAACCAAAAAAUAUCCAAAUAAAUGGUUUUAACUUGAUUAA